AUUGAACGCUGGCGGCAUGCUUUACACAUGCAAGUCGAACGGUAACAGGCCGCAAGGUGCUGACGAGUGGCGAACGGGUGAGUAAUGCAUCGGGACGUGCCCAGUCGUGGGGGAUAACGCAGCGAAAGCUGUGCUAAUACCGCAUACGAUCUGUGGAUGAAAGCGGGGGACCGUAAGGCCUCGCGCGAUUGGAGCGGCCGAUGCCAGAUUAGGUAGUUGGUGGGGUAAAGGCCUACCAAGCCGACGAUCUGUAGCUGGUCUGAGAGGACGACCAGCCACACUGGGACUGAGACACGGCCCAGACUCCUACGGGAGGCAGCAGUGGGGAAUUUUGGACAAUGGGCGCAAGCCUGAUCCAGCAAUGCCGCGUGCAGGGAGAAGGCCUUCGGGUUGUAAACUGCUUUUGUACGGAACGAAACGGUCUGGGUUAAUACCCUGGGCUAAUGACGGUACCGUAAGAAUAAGCACCGGCUAACUACGUGCCAGCCGCCGCAGUAAUAC
rnacentral:rRNA from 1 species